GCCAGGGGAGCUUGGGUGGUACAAGCACCCGACUUGUAAUCGGGAGUUCGUGGGUUCAAAUCCCACCCCUGGCU
rfam:halophilic archaeon J07HX5 genomic scaffold scf7180000022092, whole genome shotgun sequence.